GUCUACGGACAUGCUACCCUGAACAAGCCCGAUACCAUCUGAUCUCGGAAGCUAAGCAGGGUCGGACUUGGUUAGUACUUGGAUGGGAGACUAUCUAGGAAAAUCAGGUACUGUAGGCA
rnacentral:rRNA from 1 species